UGCUGACAGAAUCAAGUUCGUUUCAUCUGCCCCAAAGCGCCGCCGUGUGCACUCCGUGGUGCUCGAGGACUCUGACUUUUGAUACGAAGAAAAACCCAAAUCUAUCUCUCUCUCCUCCCUCCAACAAACGCCGAAGACAGAUCGGCGUUUCAGAUCGUAGACGAACCGUUUCAAGUGCUAGCUGCACCAUGGGCUCUUCAAAUGGAUUAUCAAAUGCACAAGAGAAGCCACCUCUCUUUUCUUUUGGGGUUAUCUCUGACGUUCAGUAUGCUGAUAUUCCUGACGGUCGCUCAUUUAUUGGGGUUCCUCGAUAUUAUCGGCAUAGUAUUCUUGUGUUGCAGAGGGCAGUGCAGAACUGGAACCACCACCAGAAGCUUAAAUUCACGAUAAAUUUUGGGGACAUUGUUGAUGGGUUUUGCCCCAAGGACCAAUCUCUAGAUUCUGUGAAGAAAGUUAUUAAUGAAUUCGACAAAUUCAAUGGCCCUGUCUAUCACAUGAUUGGUAAUCACUGCCUCUACAAUCUUCCCCGCAGCAAAUUACUUCCCUUACUGAAGAUUCCAAGUGUUGAUGAUCAUGCCUAUUUUGAGUUUUCACCAACUCCAGAGUACAGAUUCGUUGUUCUGGAUGGCUAUGAUAUCAGUGCCAUUGGCUGGCCUCAAGAUCAUCCAAACAUGUUAGAAGCCUUAAAUUUUCUCCGUGAAAAGAACCCAAAUUCUGAAAAGAACAGUCCUUCGGGACUAGUGGGCCUUGAGAGAAGGUUCCUUAUGUUCAAUGGAGGAGUUGGGAAACAACAAUUGGAAUGGUUAGAUGGUGUACUUCAGGAAGCAUCGAAGCUAAAUCAGAAAGUAGUGGUCUGUUGCCAUAUUCCUCUAGAUCCUGGUGCAUCGUCAAAAGAAGCACUUCUUUGGAAUUACAAUGAAGUAAUGGAUGUUAUACACAGAUAUGAUUGUGUAAAGGUUUGCCUAGCUGGGCAUGAUCACAGAGGUGGGCACUCAAUUGACUCCCAUGGAGUGCACCACAGAGUCCUUGAAGCUGCCCUAGAAUGCCCUCCAGGAACAGAUUCAUUUGGGUAUGUGAAUGUUUAUGAUGACAGGUUAUCACUUAUUGGUACUGAUAGAAUGCAAAGCACUGACAUUUGUUUCAACCCUCAAGCAGACUGAUGAGAAAAUAACAGCGUUAAAGAACCCUAUUAAUCAUUUGUUAAUAAUGAUGUGUAGAGUGUACAUUACCUCCAAAGAACCAUAUAUGUAGAGACAUUGAAAGGGUUCAAGAUUUCACUGCAUUCCUUACAAUAUUUGGGACAGUCAGCAAGUACUUGUUGCUCCAGUUCUUUCUUCUGCUGUAGCAUCAGCUUUCUGCUAGAUCUACUUCAAUUUGAAAGUGAUGUUGGACGACACAGCCCUGCCUUUGGUACACGCAGAAGGCACCGUUCGAGCAGUGGUGUUGUGUAGAGCAACAGUGUCGACACAAUGAGCUCCGCUCGAGCGGAGCAAGACAGUGUGCAGACUUGAGCAUCACACGAGGGGGCUUGAGCAGAGAAGCCCAGACUCCGCCGUUUCAGCAGCUAGUUCCCAAAAUGAAAGGAUUGAGACAAGAUUUCGACUUGGUUUUCCAUCCAAACUUUGCUCCAAUUUCAGUAUGAUUAGUUUCCUAGUUCCUUGUUGAUUGAGAAAGAUGAUUAAAAAUCCAAUAUUCGCCUACUAAUUAUGGCAUAGCAUCCACUAUCAAGUUGCAGAUGAUCAUGCCAUGCACAUUUUGUUAUUUACUAAUGCAACAGAUCGAGUAAUUAAUGGGUCGAUUUGCUG